UGGGGAAUAUUGCACAAUGGGGGAAACCCUGACGCAGCGACGCCGCGUGAGUGAAGAAGUAUUUCGGUAUGUAAAGCUCUAUCAGUAGGGACGAAAUUUGACUGUACCUACAAAGGAAGCACCGGCUAACUCCGUGCCAGCAGCCGCGGUAAUACGGGGGGUGCAAGCGUUGUCCGGAAUCAUUGGGCGUAAAGCGUUCGUAGGCGGUAUAUCAAGUCUGGUGUUAAAGCCCGGGGCUCAACUCCGGUUCGGCACUGGAUACUGGUAAACUAGAAUGCGGUAGAGGUAAGGGGAAUUCCUGGUGUAGCGGUGAAAUGCGUAGAUAUCAGGAGGAACAUCGGUGGCGAAAGCGCCUUACUGGGCCGUAAUUGACGCUGAGGAACGAAAGCCGGGGGAGCAAAUG
rnacentral:rRNA from 1 species